AGCCCAGCUAGAGGUUGAACGACAGGAGAGGCAUGGGCAAUCCCAGGAGGAGGAGAAUGGGGGCAAUGAGUAGUUGACAGAACAAAGGCUAUGCAAGAAGUCAGAAGAAUGGGCUUGAGAAACACACCAGCCAUGAUUGAAUAGUGGAGCAGACUUAAUGGGCUGAAUGUCUUAAUUCUUUUCCCAUAUCCUAUGACUUUUGUACUCUCCUUAGCUUCCUUGAUUAGCCAUGGUAAAUUUAUCCCUCCAUUAGAAACUUGCUUCUUUAUUGGAACAUUUUUUGCUGAUAGUCAUGAAUUACUUCCUUAAAUGUUUGCCACAGGUUGCUUACUGUCCUUCCUACAAAUCUAUCUGCCCAGUCCACUUUAGCUAACUCUAUCUUAACUUUAUUUCUUUUAUUUAAAUUAAACAGAAAUUUCUCACUUC